UAUUGGUCUAACUGGAGACAUCCUCAGUACAAUGCCAUCCGGUUUCUCAUGACAAUAUUAGCGUCAUGUUGGGUUUGGUUUUCUGCCAAACAUGAACGGAAAUGUAAGCUUGCUUCCAUAUUCAUUUUAUUAAACUAUCAUCUUAAACCGUGAUUGAUUCAUCCCAAAACCACAACAGAUAGAAGGAUCAAGACAUGAAUAAUUCCUUUGGAGCCAUGUACGCUGCGAUAUUGUUUCUCGGUGCCACAAACGCUGCAACAGUUCAACCGCUAUCGCCAUUGAGCGUACUUUUUUCUACCGUGAAAAAGUUGCUGGAAUGUACUUAGCCAUCCCUUAUGCAAUCUCUCAGGUGGCCGUGGAAAUUAUGUACAAUACGGUACAACGAGAGUUUACACGCUGAUCAUUUACUCAAUAAUUGGAUACGACUGGAUUGUGGCUAAGUUCUUAUGGUUCUACUACUCAAUGCUAACAAGCUUCAUAUUUCACGCUAUACGGUAUGAUGAUUGUGGCCUUGACACCAAACUAUCAGAUCAAUGGGAUCUGCAUGUCCUUCUUCCUUGAGUCUCUGGAAUCUCUUCUCAGGUUUACUCAGACCAAGACCGGUACGUCGCAAAAAACGAUAUGGUGGAGAUUGCACUACUGCGCAUACACCAGUGGCUUGGACGUUGUAUUGUAUCAUCACAUCUCAAGUAGGAGAUAAAGAUUUGAUAGUGCAGAUCGCUGGUGUUGGAGACAUGAGCCUUAAAAAUUUGCUGAAAUAUGGGUUCGGGUUUGAACAUGACUUCUUACCAGUUGUAGCUGCUGUCCACAUAGGAUAGAUACUACUGAUAUUUGUCUUUGACUAUGUCUUUGCUUAUGAUAUCAAGGUCCUCAAAUUUCAAAAGAACGUGAAGGAGAAGUAGUACCUUUGUAGCAUAGUGUUUGGAAGUUGUUGGAUUCCUGUAAUUUUUCUUUUGUUAUAUAUAUUGUUUUUAUUUGGUUAGAAACAACAACAAUAAUAACAGUUUAUGUUAUCAAAUCAUACUUUUGAUAUAAAAUAGAAUUCUCUUUAAAAAAUACGUACAUGUACGAUUGGUAUCUAUAUGUAAAGUUAUACAUUCUCAGACGACAUGAGCACGACACAUCAAUUCAGGUAACAUCUUUAUUCAUCUAUUUAUUAAUUUAUGUUUCUUCUUAUUCUUACACCAAAUCUUUUAAAACAGUAUAUCUUAAUAAUACAUAAAUUAUAAAAAUAAAACAAAAACAAAAUCGUAAGUUUCUUUUCCCUAAUUGAAUUAUUCCCUUUUUUGAUAACUAAAUUCAAAUUUAUAGAAAUUGAAAAUUUGAUAGUAGAACACAAAAAAAUAAUAAUAAUCAAAACAAAAAA